rnacentral:tRNA from 1 species
GGCGCCAUCGUCUAGAGGCCUAGGACGGGUGGUUCUCAGCCAUCAAACUGGGGUUCGAAUCCCCAUGGCGCUGCCA